CAACUGUCAAGAAGAUCCACUCCUGCCCGAUGGCCUCAAGGGUCUUCGACUUGUCGAGCUUCUUCAUUACUUCAGUUCCGGGGUUCGCCAACACAAGCUGAAGGCCUCUUCUGACGAUACUCUUUUUCACUUCAUCGAGCAUGCUAAUUCCACUCGUGUCAAUGCUGGGUACAGCUCCCAUAUCCAGAACUACAUACUGCAAGCUUCUCUCCCCUUUCGAUUUCAGCAUCUCUUCCUCGUCAGCAAUCCAUCUUAAGAUCCUCUCUCGUAGGUAACUAGCAUUGGCAAAG
rnacentral:misc_RNA from 1 species